UUUAUGUCAUAAAAUCUACGUAAUGAAGCUGUUAUGUUCGGUAAAGUUUUUGAUUAAAAGAAUUGUUGGACGAAACGUGUUCAAUCUAUUCUCAAACUUUCAAUGAGUAUGACACCCUUGCUUGCUUCAAUGGUAUGUAGACAUUGAAUGUGUGCUCCACGUGCGCUAUUUUUGACAACAGAAGUGGCACUGAAGGAUGAACAA
rnacentral:ncRNA from 1 species